CCCACGGACAGGUCUAAACUCGUCUAACUCAUCACAAGCUCACAUUCAUCUCAGGAACUUGGUCAUUACUUUACUACAUCAUAGGCAUGGGAUAGGGGUGGUUUUGGUGAGGGUUAACCCUUCCAGUGCCGCUACCUAUGACAAUGUCCUAAAACGAUGUUGCAACCUGUUUGCAAAUAAACCAAAAUGAUAAAUAAGUAGAUGCAUGUGUGUAUGUGUGUGUGACAUUAGGCCAGCAGAGGCCAUGAUAAGAAUGUAGUCUGUGUGCUUGUGCAUUGCUGGUGCCCUAACAAAGGAGGCAAUACAUCAGUGCCUAUGCCAUGUAAAUAUAUGCGCUGCCCCUCUAUGCUGGAGUCUGGCAGCAGUGAUCUUCUAGUGACCAGACAUUUCAAAUUUGUUCCGUCUGCCACAUGAGGACUAUGAGAGGGGCUGGAGCAAAUUCAUUAUCUGUGACAAUGCUAGAACUGCAAAAGACCGUGCCAAUGGCUGGACAAUGGGGCUUCAGUUCACCACUAACAAAAGAAUUAGGGGGAAACUGGUUGGGUUUCAGAGCACGUCCUCCUCAGCAGAGAGGGCUGGACUAGACCUUGUCCAGCCCCCCCAAAAAAACUUGCAGACCCCUUCUCUAGAACACUUCACUCUCCAGCCAGUGUUUAUUAAGCAUAUAUCUCAGGGGGGUUCCCCCUCCCCCCCACACUUUUUUUUUUUUUUUUUAAGGGGGGGUGGAAAUGACCUUCAGAAAAAAACUAAACAACAACUAUACAAUAGGAUUAAAGCUCUAUCUCUCAUCGCAUUUGUGGAGCAGGACGAUCAUUUACUGGGUGCUUGGGAUAUUUUAUUCUUGCUGCUUGGAGAAUGUUCAUCACUGCGGACCCAGCCCCAUUAAAUUGAGACCGGUGGCAGCAGCAGCAGCAGAAGCAGAAGCAGCAGCAGCAGCAGCAGCAAGGCAGAACCACUGCAUCUCGUUCUUCUUCAUGUGAAUCCUGCAAGGAGCUGCCCCCCUAAACACACACUAUAUACACCAGAGGUCUGCCAUCCAGCUGACACCAUUUGGGGGGAGAGGAAAAGCCCUGGCAUAUGCAUGAGACAGAAGGACGAGGAGAAGACCAUUGAAUCAUCUUGUCACUUUGGACUGGAAUGGGAUUCUUGCUGCUGGGCAGGACUGAGCUCCGCACAGCACAAGCCUUUACAUCUUCCUAGGGCUUUUCUGGGAGUAUGAAGCAAUUUACAAUGCAAAUAGAGGCCUGUAAAGGGAUGGAGGCUGCUCCUUGAACGCUGGGAGCUCCUGCUGGAGCUUGCUCUUCAUUGCUGCAUAUGUUUGGUGAUUAUCAUUAAAAAAAGGAAUAACUCCCAAGGAGGAAAGUUGGGUAUGAACUUUGAUGGCAACAGAUCCCUAUGGUUGGUUAUGGAGCUGAUCCCAGGCAAUGAUGAUGAUGAUGAGCAAUGUGUUUGUCCAGAGGAUCCUUGUUUCCAGGCGUUGAUCCCAGGGAAUGUGGAUAACCCAGCCUGGACCUGUAGACGAGAAGUGGUUGUUAUCUUUGGUUAUCUAGCUGUAUGAGUUUAUCGGUUUUCAUAAAGCUAGAUAACCGAAAGUAAAAACUCCUUCCAAUACAUCUCAGCACACAGGAUUGUAUCACCCAGAGAGGGACUGAUGGGAAAGGACUGAUCCAAGUUCAUAGACCUAUAGGUGUAUAUAGAGUAUUAUAUAGACCUCAUGAUUGGAGAAUUGUGUGUCCUUAUAGUUGAACUCUGGAGGACCUGGUUUUAUUAGCAAAGCCUUCAUGGAAAUGGAUGGUAAUGUAUAUGCAACUUUUGAUGCAUUGAUUUUUUUUUUUUUAACUGAAACCCUUUCAUUGCCAGACAAGGUGGAAAGGAGAGGGGGGAUCUGCACACCAGACCUGUAAUGGAUAUAUUGUAUUCACCAGACUCUGAAGAUAGAUACACAGGUUAAUGGAGGGAAGAAAUAAGCAAGUAGUUUAUUUGAUGCUAUAAAGCACACAUUGAUUUUCACCAUUGGCAUUGUAUACAUCCCUAAACCUUUCAUAGUGUACAUUGGCAAUAGACACCAUGGGUUUUGGCUGUUUAGUUGUAGCUAUAAAAGAGAUAACUCCAAGGGAUGCUUUCCUUUCUGUAUACAGCCAGCCUUUAUCUUGACUUGCACUUUAAUCAUUUUGUACCAGACAUGUCUCCAUGGCUUGUUUCCAUGCUUGCUUCUUGAAAUAUUUUUAAUAAUAAAAAUAAAAAAAAAACUAGAUUAAGAGUGUGAAAGUAUACUUGAUUGCUAAAGAUGUUCUUAAUCUAUAGAAAGGGCAAAUGCUUGUGUCUUGUGAGAGGGUCUCCUUGAGGAACUCACUGGAGCAUAAAAAUAUAUGAUAGAGAAGAGUUCUCUUUUCUUCUUGUCUAAGUGUUAAAAAUGUCCUGUCUUACUUUUAGCUUCCAGCAUUGGAAAGGAAAGUGACAUUUAAGCCAAAAAAAGAAGCCACGUGUGCUCCUUGGCUGCAUGCAGUUCUUUGCCCUUGUUGUUGUGUAAGCUUGGGCAGAUUUCUCCAGGAAACAGCUCUGGCAUCCCAAAGUGAAAUAAUUAGGACGUAGAUACAAGUGACAAAAAUGG